UAUAUGAUAUAUUAUGUAUUAAUAACUCAAUUCAAAACUUAAAUAAUAAUUGAAGUAUGACUUUUUAAGGAAAUAAUUAUAUAAAAUUGAUUCAAGAAUUGAUAACCGAACCGAGAAACUGAAACUGAAGAACCGAGAAAACGGAACUAAAACAACAAAGAACCGAACUGGAACUAUACCGAAAUUUUGGUUCGGUUUCGAUUUCUAGACAAACAUCGAACUGAACCGGAACCACACAUCCCUGGUCUCAAUCUUGGGUUUGUAAUGAUUUGCUGCUAUGGCUUUUUUAUUUUACCUUAUUUGGUGUUUGUUCAUUUUGUUUUUAUAAGGCCAGAAACAUAUUUAUAAAAUGUUAAAUUAAAAUUUUCUGUCAUUUAUUGACUAAAACCAUGUUUUUUCUCUUGUUGAGUUUUUCAUUCUGAGAUGUGCCAGUCAAA
rnacentral:misc_RNA from 1 species